UCCAGCAAAACCCUCACCACCCUCACCACUGAAUCUCUUCUCUUUCAUUCUCCCUAUACAAAAAUAUUCUUGAAUCUGUACAUUUGAUCUUUGUCAAGUAAAAAUCCUAACGCCGUUGUUGAGGACGAUUUGAAUCAUAAAGAAAACUGCAGCUGGGGAGUUAUUCGUAUUAUAAGCGGGGUUAGGGUUUUCAAUCUCUCGAGGAGUCGUCUUUAUCAAACCUAUGAUAAUGGUUGCGAUGAUACGUCACCUCAAUCAGAUGUUUAAGGGUUCAAGUUUCUUAAUCAACGAAUUCUUCCUAAGGAUUAGGUUUUCAGAGUACAAGACUUCAUCAUGGCAAUUCAAUGGCACCAAGGAAUAGAAAGGCCUAGCUCCCUCAAUUUUCAAAGCCAGCUAAAUCUGGUGGUAGUAAAAAAUAGAAGAGCUUCUGCAAGUAUUAUGUCGUCUUUCUUCGUUGCUUCUGAUGGUAUCCUCUUAGAGAUAUCCAUCAGGUAGAGUUGAGUCGUUUGGCUGAUGGUGAUGACAAUACUGUUGAAAGUACUUCAGCGAUGAAUGUCAGCUUAUAAUAUAUCUCAGUCACUUUUUUUGUAGUCGUACCUAGCUCUAGUGCAGGAGAAGAUCGAAUAGUGCAACCUGCAAUGUUUACAUUCGAGCUGCUGAGAGAUUCUACACUGAUAUUGCAGUUGAUUGACAUGGAUGUUGUGUCUUGCAAAAAUGUAUCACUUUCGCUGCAGGUGGACUCCAAGAAAAAUUGGUAGCUGAAAUUUGCGUGAACGGCCUAUUCCUUGCGCAUGAUGCAUUUGGUUUUAUGUCGACCAUUAAGAACUGGUAUUCCAGGUUAUCCUGCACGUAGGAGUCAUUCUGAAUUUGUUAAUGGAUUCGGUCUCUUAGCUCUAGAACUUAUGGACGAAGGCUAUGAUGAAUAAGCUUUGGCAACUAAAUGAUGGAUAAGCUUUGGCAGCGAAGAUUUUGCACAAGUUAAAACCUGAAAAUUUUCAUGUUAAUCAAAAAGCUAUGUAUUUUAACUUUUUAAGUCAUCUAUGCCCCAUACCUGCGCAUAGAUUCUGAGAUAAGAUUUCUGAAUAAAAUUGAGGAUAUAGAAUAUGAGAAGCUCACUCUUAAAGUCUUAAUGUUUCUCUGAUCGUAAGUUCUCUCUAAUCAUUGUUUCAAUUUUUAAAGUUUCUUAUGUCUUAAACAGAAAACCUUCAAGUAUACCUUGUUUAUGGAGUCUGACCUUCAGUUUUUUGUCUACUUGCGAGGUACUAUGCUUAAUGUUCAUUUUUGCUUAGUGAGAAGUGAACUGCAGUAGGAUCGGCAUAAACCUGUGCAGGUUCUCUUGAGUAUCACAGAUUCUGAAUUAGGUCUUCUAGAUAAAGUUGAGGAUGUAGAAUAUGAGAAGAGCACUGUUAAUGCUUAUCUGUAACGAUGAUAUGCUUGCUUGUCGAAGAAUUGCGAGUGUAGAAUUUUAUACUUGUAUGUUUUGAUACACAAAUGUUGUGGUGUGGAGAUGGGUAACAAUAGUGUAUUGUAGAGAAUUCUUGUAUGUUGUGAAUGUUUUGCUGAAAAGCUUGCAGCUGAACUCUGUUUAAAAAAGUAGGUACUGUUGCAGGUACCCUCAUUUUGACCAGACCAAAAUUGACCUGGAACUAUUUUUUUGAUGU